AACGAACGCUGGCGGCAUGCCUAACACAUGCAAGUCGAACGAGACCUUCGGGUCUAGUGGCGCACGGGUGCGUAACGCGUGGGAAUCUGCCCUUAGGUUCGGAAUAACUCAGGGAAACUUGAGCUAAUACCGGAUAAUGACUUCGGUCCAAAGAUUUAUCGCCUAGGGAUGAGCCCGCGUCGGAUUAGCUAGUUGGUGAGGUAAAGGCUCACCAAGGCGACGAUCCGUAGCUGGUCUGAGAGGAUGAUCAGCCACACUGGGACUGAGACACGGCCCAGACUCCUACGGGAGGCAGCAGUGGGGAAUAUUGGACAAUGGGCGCAAGCCUGAUCCAGCAAUGCCGCGUGAGUGAUGAAGGCCCUAGGGUUGUAAAGCUCUUUUACCCGGGAUGAUAAUGACAGUACCGGGAGAAUAAGCCCCGGCUAACUCCGUGCCAGCAGCCGCGGUAAUACGGAGGGGGCUAGCGUUGUUCGGAAUUACUGGGCGUGAAGCGCACGGUA
rnacentral:rRNA from 1 species